GCUUCAGACUGCAAGGUUCCAGGUAAGCAAACAUAGUAUCAUCUGUCUGACCAAUUUGGAGUGGAUUUUGACAGUUGUCUUUCCCUAAAUAAAUGUUUAUAUUUGCAGAGAGAAAGGUUACAAAGGUGUUCCCUCGAUGCAAACACAGCCAUCUCAUUUGAAGUGUGAUGUAAAGCUGACACAUCCAGCUCAGAGAAGAUGUGAGAGAGAGAGAGAGAGAGAGAGAGAGAGAGAAUAACUGCGAAAGAGAGAUAGUGUAACUGCACAAGAUUUCAGAUUGUCCCUUAUAUUGUCUCUCAAUGGACAAAAGUUUGAUUGACAGAUGGUUAUAAGAGAAACACCCUAUUAUAAGUAGAAAUUAUACUCAACAAAUGGGCUCUGAUGAAACCUGGGUUUUCUCGCAGACCAUGAUGAAUGAAAAUUAUUGUCAUUGUUUUUCAGCCUUUGUGAGCAUUCACCACUCUAGACAAAUCUCUCUCUGUAGCAGAUUAUUAGACAACUUUCAUGGAAAAUGUAUAAUAUUGUUGGGAAAUAAAGUGGAAUUAAGGCCCUUCACAUUAAUGAUGCCAAUUGAUGAUCACCUUACAUCUUCUGUGAAACAUGCACUUGAACAUGGUGACAAACAACAACUGAUGAUCAUCUUCUGACAUUUUUGUUCUCCACUUAUGGGAAAGGAAAUAAUCCUCCAAACCAGGAGGUGGCACUAGUCUGUAAUUCAUACUCAAGCAAUGAAACAAGCAAAAAAAAUAAAUAAAAUUAAUCACGGUGGAUAACAAAAAACCAGAGUUUGACACAGGGCACAGGAAUUUGUCUGCAGCACAAGGCGAUUCAGUGCUUUAUAACUCAAUAGUAGUAUUAAUCAAUGCAAUCAAUCAAUGUAAAUUUUUACUGGGAGCCACUGUAGUGUGGAUAAGAUGGUUUGAAAUGGUCACAAUUUUCUGGUUCUUGUAAGGACAUUCUGCAUUCUGGACAUAGUGGAUGGAACAUCAGUCCAUGUCAGGGCAACAUGCACACACAUUUGUAUGCUUUUGGGAGGUGAGAGGAAAGUAGAGAGGAAGAGAGGAAAAACCCAGAGGAAUUCAACAUAGAUGCUAUGAGAAAUUGAGAAACACAAUACAGACAUUACCUGAGUUCAGGAUUGAACUGGGAACCCUGGUGAGUGAAGCAUUAAGGCUACCCUCUCUGCCACUAUACAACCCAUUGUACUAAAUAGUUGUACAAAGUUGCUGCUAAAUGUUACAUUUUAAGCCACUUAUAGUGUAACAAAUUCAGUCAAUGCAGUGAUGUAUAACUUUGACAUACUAUUUAAUGUAGGGGAUGUAGUUCUUAAGAAAUGAAGCUAGCUACAUCUCUUUUUCUACACUGAUUUCCUACUAUGAACAACCAGUUAAACAAAAACCAGAGUGCUCUUUUAAACUUUGAAUGUUCAAUCAAGAUAAGACUGGAAGUGAACUCUUCAGGAUGGUUGAAUAAAGACCUCUUGGAAAAGGUGGAGAUGAGUAUAGUAUCCAAAUUUGGUGAUGACUGGUGUGCCUUUUAUUUUGCAAUCUUGAGUAUAGGAAUGCAUACAGAAGCCAAAUGUAGGUCUUUAACUGUUUACUGAUAAUCUGUGGCUCACACAACAGAAUCAGUAUUACAUUCACUCUCUUUCUUAAAACAUUACGGUGGGUAGACUACAUUUCCCAGCUUUCUGUGAACUACAAAUAUGGAUAUUAACUUAGCACAAUCAUGGACAAUGUCUACCUACCAUAGCAGACUUUGC
ensembl:lncRNA